GGGAAGGGUUCAUGAGCUCCCACCAUUAACUGAGGAGCUCUGGACAGUUGGUCGCUUCUGGGAUAAAGAGAGUCCGUUUUCUUUAAAUGUGUAGACCAUGGUGAGACACAGCAGCAGGCAGAGCUGUGCCCACCGAGGGAUCACUAGCCCUGAACCUCUAAGGAUGGUGGUGAGCCUCUAGUCAUGGCUGGGUUGUUUGCAGGCUUCAGUUUCCACUGAAACAAGAUGAAUUAAGAGAGACAUUGGAUCUGAUUGAACAGGUUUGC
rnacentral:lncRNA from 1 species